rnacentral:rRNA from 1 species
AGUGAACGCUGGCGGUAGGCCUAACACAUGCAAGUCGAACGGCAGCACAGUAAGAGCUUGCUCUUACGGGUGGCGGGUGGCGGACGGGGUAGGAAACCUCCGGAUCCUAUUUUUUUGUGGGGGUUAACGUGGGGAAACUAACGUAAAUACCGCAUACGCCCUCGGGGGGAAAGCAGGGGACUUCGGGACUUGGGGGGUUGGAUUGCGCCGUUGCCGGUUUAGCUAGUUGGGGGGGUCAAGCCCCACCAAGGCGAGGAUCCGUAGUUGGCCUGAGAGGAGGAUCAGCCACACUGGAACGGAGACACGGUCCAGACUCCUAAGAGAGGCAGCAGUGGGGAAUAUUAGACAAUGGGCGCAAGCCUGAGCCAGCCAUACCGCGUGGGUGAAGAAGGCCUUCGGGUAGUAAAGCCCUUUUGUUGGGAAAGAAAAGCAGCAGGUUAAGACCCCGCUGUUCUGACGGUACCAAAAGAAUAAGCACCGGCUAACUUCGUG